UACGUAGGGGUGCGAGCGUUGUCCGGAAUUAUUGGGGCGUAAAAGAGCUUGUAGGCGGUUUGUCGCGUCUGCUGUGAAAAAUCCCGGGGGCUCAACCCCCGGGACUUGCAGUGGGGGUACGGGGCAGGGCUGGGGAGUGUGGGUAGGGGGAGACUGGAAAUUCCUGGGUGUAGCGGGUGGGAAAUGCGCAGAUAUCAGGGGAGGGAAACACCCGAUGGCGAAAGGGCAGGGUCUCUGGGGCCACUACUGACGCUGAGAAAGCGAAAAGCAUGGGGGGGAGCGAAACAGGG
rnacentral:rRNA from 1 species